AAGAAUCAACUAAUUAACUACUUACCUCUUUUAAAAGGGAGUCACACCCACCCUAUUACCCAAACUCAAAUAAAGAGUUUUGAGUCGAGCUCAACUCGGCUUGUUAUCACCCCGACCUACGUAACGCAUUAUAUAGUUACUGAGCUAGAACCGGAAGUUGUAACUCUGUAAAUUGGGCGGUUCAAUCUCGCUGUUUUCUCCCAGUUCCCGCCAAGGUUUUGAAUAAGGUUGCCGAGUCAAGAAAAGUGGUAGAAAUCAAGAUGAAUUUAACUGUGGUAAGAGGUUUUUGGAUAUGCCCAUAGGCAUAGGAUCUUCUGUAAGGUAUUAAAUUUUGAUCAUUUAAUGCCCGCCUAACAUCUUUAUCUUAAUUUUCUUUGUAGAAUGGUACAUUAAGAUACUUAAAUCCUAUAGUCUCCACGUUAGAAAGCAUUUAUAUCCUAGAAAAGAAAUUGUUUUGUUUACGUAGAAAAGUCGCUGUGUUCUACAACUAUUGUUGUCAUACAACCUGCCAGGGUAACGAAACAAAAAGUUUCCAUGUAUCAUUCUUCUCCAUGGUUAGAGUUCAACUAAGGAUUAGGGGAGUGAUGGUGCCCUUUUAUCAUAACCAAAAAGGUAAUUAUUCAUGGAAGGGUCAGACUGACUAAUUCCAGAGUGCUUUAGAGAUGAACUUUUAUGUACAAACCUUGAUGGUAGUCAUUUGCAUAUAUAGUAUCAUAUAUUUCGUAUUAGACUUGGUCUCUUGGCAAACCCCUGUUAAUAGGUAAUCAAUAUUUGAAGUUACAAUAUCAAGCAGUGUGUCUCUUAGUGAC